GGGGGGGGGGGGGGGGGGGGGGGGGGGGGGGGGGGCGGGCGGGCGGGCGGGGGGCUGGCUCCGGUGACGUUGGCGGCGGGCGGGUGGGUGACCCGUGGCUACCCUGCCUAUAAGGCUGGGGUCACUUCGGGAAACCGGGGCUAAUCCCGACUACCAUGUUGACCCGCCUCGUUCCCCAGUCAACGCGGGUUUUCCUUUCCCUUAUUGCUGGAUCCGCGCCGCUUGAGCUAGUUGGUCAGGUAACGGCUUACCAAGGCAACGAUGCGUCGCCGACCUGCGAGGGGGAUCGGCCAAACUGGAACUGAGAAACGGUCCAGACUCCUACGGGAGGCAGCAGUAGGGAAUCUUCCGCAAUGGGCGAAAGCCUGACGGAGCAACGCCGCGUGAGUGAAGAAGGUCUUCGGAUCGUAAAACUCUGUGAUUAGGGAAGAACAAAUGUGUAAGUAACUAUGCACGUCUUGACGGUACCUAAUCAGAAAGCCACGGCUAACUACGUG
rnacentral:rRNA from 1 species